rnacentral:RNase_P_RNA from 2 species
AAAGUAGAACGGUUUGCCGCUGCAUGGUUUCAUGGAGAGGAAAGUCCGGGCAACACAGAGCACCAUUCUUCUUAACGGGAAGUGGGCUGCGAAGUUCAAGUAGCGUAACAGAAAAUAACCGCCCCGAUUCGUCGAGGUAAGGGUGAAAAGGCAGGGUAAGAGCCUACCGUGGUUGUGGCGACACAUUCCAGCCGUACGUCUAAUGGGUUGAAAGAUCAUGUAUAUCAGCGCAGUAGGAUUGCUCGUAACCCCACCGAUAUGGUUGCCUUCCGUAAGACGCGAUUAAUCGCGUCUCUACUUUUUCA